GACGGGGGGGGGGGCUCCGGGCUGAGGGAGCUGCUGCCGCCGCUGCUCGGCGUCGCGUCGCCUCUUCAGGGGGGGUCGCUCGGCGUCCUGGGCUCCGUGACGCGGCCGGGGCUUCCCUUGGCCCCUGGGGCUUCCUUCCAGCCGGCCCCUCCGCCGACGGGGCUGCUCGGAGGGAUGAGAUGAACCGGACCCAUGAAACUGACCCACCGCCCCAGCCCUGGGGGAGGCAGAGCUGAGGUAGCUGAGACCAACUGGUUGGUUAGUUCAGCAUUUUUAUUUUAUUUCCUUGAUGGGGGGCAGCCCCAGCCCUCCUGGCUACCGGUGGCCACAGCACAGGAGCAGAGGCGGGUUGAUAAGCUGGCAACCUCUUUGCAAGGCCAGUUUCUGCUUCAGGAUUGCUGGAAGGGAGCACUGGAGCGCAUUGGGUGCUGGCAGUGCCAGUUCUGCAGAUGGGCAUUUGGGGUUUUGUGGGUCAGGUGUGCUCACAAGUUUUGAAUGAGCAGGAUUCCAGUUUUUCAGAAGUGAUUGAGAAGGUGCUCCUUGUUGCAGCUACACAUUAUAUAAAAGAAUUACCAAAUUAGGGUGGUCUAGUGGAAAGGAGGACAGGGCUCUUGCCCCUUUAGUAGCCUCCUCUUCACCCAUGUUAAAGGUACAGGAGCCCUAUCUUUCCAUCUGGCCAAAAUUAAGUGGGUCUCACUAUUAGGAAUGCAAUCUAUUAUUAAGUUAAUAUGUGAUAAUAACAUACACCAUUGUGCAAAUUAGUUGAAACAAAGCAUGUUUUCUAUCUUACUCUUAAUCCUGUACUCAAAACAAACAUGAAAAGCCAGUUGAUCACUAUGGUGUCAGAAGCCUGCAGCCAAUAGAAGGAAUGAUGCGCUCGCCACAAUAUAUUGAGGUUCUACGAAAGAGAGUUAUUCCAGAGCUGGAAAAGAGGUAUCAUGAUGGUACUGGGUUAUUGCAGCAGGACCUAGCCCCCUGUCACACAUCAAAAGCGGUGAAGAAAUUCAUGACAGAGCAGCAAAUACAAGUACUUGAUUGGCCAGGGAAUUCCCCGUACGUAAAUCUCAUUGAGAAUUUGUGAACUACAGUAUAUGCAAAAGUCGCCUCCAUGCUGUAGACUGUACAACUAUGGAGAAGCUCAUUCAGGCUCUGAUUCAAGUGUGUGUUAUAACCUGAAAGAGAUUUCAUGAAAAUGUUUUGCCGUUGGUACCGAACACCUUCAAAACUGGCUAAAAUGUAUAAAACCGGGUCGAGCAAUUGUUGGAGAUGCAGAGAGGCGGAAGGCACAAUGAUACACAUGUGGUGGAACUGUAAAAAAAAGAGAGAAUUUUGGGAAAUGAUAUACAAUGAGCUUAAGAAAAUGUUUAAAUUUUAUUUUGCAAAAAAAAACCUGAAGCCUUUCUGCUGGGUAUAAUGAGUAACGAUAUUUCAAAAAAUAUAAGGAGAAUUUUCAUGUAUGCAAUAGCCGCAAAAAGAAUCUUAAUAGCUAAAGGAUGGAAAGGAGAAUCCAUUCCUACUAAGUAAGACUGGCAGGUGAAAAUGCUAGAAUACGCUGUUAGCAAAAAUGACAGGAAGACUUACAGAUGAUACAGAACAGUGAUUUAAUAGAGAAUGGGACACUUAGAGAGUAUACAUAAAAGAACAUUGUAAACAUCUAAAUUCUUUGGCAGGUCUUGAUUGACCCCUGAAAGACACUAGGAAACUUUACAGAACCAAGACAAUUGAGACAAUUUAUGAGAGACAGUGGAAAGUGUGCAGUCAAAAAUGUAACUUAGGAACCAUGUUGGGGUGAUCGGAAGUCAUAAUGGAAUCUGUUAUGUAUGAAUCUAAUUUUUUUCUUUUUGUAAUAUGUUUUGAUCUUGGAUUGUUUUUGUCGAUUGAUUUUUGCAAAAUUAAUAAAGCAUUAAAAUAAAAAAUGAAGCACCACAAGUUCUCCUUCCCUGCUUUACACCUUCAUAUCUAGUAUCUCUUCAGCAGCUGUGGCUGCUGGUUCCUCCCUCUCUGUUCUUUCCCAGGUAUGGUAGCAAACCCAUUUCCAGUGGUGGCACCAGAAAAGAAUUAUGGGAGAGCACUAAAUGGGCAAAGUGCAUUUUUUUGGAGAGAUGAGGCUGCAACAAGUGCCCUUCUUCCAAGGAACCACAGAGGUGCAGCGGGAGGGAACUCUUUGUCCAGGGAGGUGCUCUCUUGCCUCUCCCCUGGUACUCCCUAGGAUCUCUUCCCCCAUCCAUUGUAACAAACAGAAUAUUGAUUUUGCCUGACAGCAGGUUGGGAAUGUGAAUGAGCCCAAUAAAUGAGAAACAGAGAAACUGUGAUGGUGGCAACAACCUCCCUCAAAACAGAGGUUAGAUUUUCUGGGUUUCAACCUUAAACUUUGCGCACACAUGCUGGGAGCCUGAUCCCAUCUGCGCUUCCUCAGUGGCACUCCCAGUAAGUAUGCAUAAGAUUGCAGCUAAGGCAGAAUGCAUAAGGAAUCCAAUCAACUCCUUGACUGGACAGGAUUGCUUGGGCUUCCAGUCAAAUAGUGUGCAAAGUGAAAUUAGUUUCACCCUCAGCUAUCAUUGUGACAUUUGAGGAAGGCACAUAGCUCAGUUGUAGAGCAACUGCUUUGCAUGCAGAAGGUCCCAGGUUCCGUCCCCAGCAUCUCAAGUUGGCCAAGAAUUUCCUCUGCCUGAAACCCUGGGGACCCGCUGUGUGUCGGUGUUGGCAAUACUAAGCCAGAUCAUGAACCAAUGACCUGACUUGGUACAAGGCAGUUUCAUGUGUUUCCCUGACAUUGACAUUGCAAGGAGUCCUUGGUCUCUUGUAGAUCAUGUAGCCCAGCUCCCAGGUAAACUGUGACACUGAGGUGUCAGGAGCUACACACAUAACCCCAGGACUUGGUGAGUCCCAGCACCUCUCAUUUAGAGGUUAAACCACUCAUGCCAUAUUAAUGCAUGCAUUAUUUAGGAGAAAACAUCAUAUACCCAUGCUCAAUAGCCAGUCUAUAAAAGCCUUUAAAGGGUCAAGGAACAAUUCUUGUUGCAUGUGGGAGUCAGAUGUCCUUCCCCCCCGAUACUCUUCUUUCCCUAACAUUGAACAAACUAAUCAUUUCAGCCACUUGGACAACAAUAAUAGUUUAAUUGGAGCCAGGGCCUACGAUGGCAUAGCAUUGGGAGAGUUUUCAGUCCUGCAAAUGUGAAGCAAGAACCUAUGAAGUGUGUGCAGACUACUUUUCACCUCUGACUAAUCACAACCAGCCUCCACAUGCCUGGGAUUGGACAGAAUACCUUGCCGAUUUGGGGAUGGGAGUGAACAGUCAGUGUGUCAUCCACACCAGACUGAGACUUGUGAUUCUACUUUCAUUUCAUGAUUUCACUGACAGCUGGGCUACACCUUUAAAGCACAUUUGCAGCACAUUUCACCCCCUCAAAGAAUUCUGGGCGCUGUAGUCUACCCCUCAAGGGGGUACAAUUCUCACCAACCUCACCAGAAGCCUUUGAGGGAAAGAAUGUGCUUCAAAUGUACUUUAAAGAUGUAGUGUGUGCACAGCCGAGUGGACCCUCAAGAACACCAGGCACUAGAAAUCAACGCUGCAAAAGCAAAACCUGCCUUGCUGUCUGCGGAGGAGGAGGAAAAAGUUGAAAAUGUAUGAUUCCCUCCCUCACACUUAAGCUGUAGGGAAGGUGGCAGCAACAGGAGGUCCUGGCUGGAAAGUAGUAAAGAGGAGCAGAGUUAAGACAACUCAGACUGACAGCCAAAUAGACAUUAAAAUGGCACCCAUACCCCCACUUUAUACAUUCAUUUCAGAAUUUACAUUAUUUUCUUCUGUUAUGGAGGCUUUUAAGUGCAUUAAAUAUUUAAGCAUUUAAAUGUCAUGGAUUAAUGCAACAGCAAUACAGUACUAAAAACAAGAGCAUCAGCGCAUCAGCAGCAGAGCAGGGCAUGCGCAGAGAUGACCCAAGGAGCCUGCCUCCAAGAGACUUCUGAGAGUCAUGUGAAGCAAGUUUCCAUUUAUCAUUACUGAAUUUUUAUUAACAGAGCAAGAGAGGUACUGACAGAAUUUUACACCUCAAAUGCCAAAAUAGUUCAACUGAGUUCUUCUUUUAAAAAAAACAAAAAACCAUUUUAAGUUUACAUACAUGCAUCAUCUUAUAGACUUCCCAACCUAUCUUCCAUGGACAUCCUAUAUGACUUCCUUUGAUCUGCUACAUCUCCUUUAUUCCACCCUUUUUUAUCCCCUCAAUUCUCUUAUGUUUUCUGCUGCUGUUCAGAAAUUUGUCCCUAUUUGAAAGUUUACCAUCUCUUUUUAAGUACUCUCCAAGGCAAUUCCACUCACUUCCUAUUUUCUUUUCAUCCCAGUUUCUUAUUUUGGCAAUCAUACUCACUAGUUCCACAAAUUCUAUUAAUUUAGGGGCAGGCCGGGUAAGUUAGUGAGUGUGCCGUGUGCCAGUCCCUCCUCCAACCUGGGGAAUUGUGGUUGUCAUAUCAGCCAGCCCUCGGGUCUGCGACUGCUGCUGUUGAAUGCCAGGUCAGCCCAGAAUAAAAUCUCCCUUAUUCAUUAUCUGAUUAUGGAUGGGGAGGCAGAUCUGGCAUGUAUCACUGAAACUGGGCGGGGGAACAGGGUGGAGCAGCUGUGCCCACCUGGGUACUCAGAGCAGCGGCAGGCCAGACUCGAGGGUCGGGGAGGGGGAGUUGCUGUGGUUUAGAGAGAUUCUCUAUCUCCAGGUUCUCUGUCCGGGGGGGGCAGGGAUCUAAAGAGUGCGUUCCUGGCGUUGGGCAAUUGGGAGGUGGUAGCUCGCUGUGACUUAUUUGCAAGGCAUUUUGAGGAUAAGAUCACUUUCAUGCACCAAGACCUUGACUCUGCUGUUAUAGCAGAUGAAACUCAUGGGGUGUCCAGAACACAGUCUAGUCCUGUUGUACUGGAUGAGUUUCAGUUGGUAAGGCUCGAGGAUGUGGUGCUUGGAUCAGUCAGGGCGACCACUUGCGCUCUGGACCCUUGCCCCUCCUGGCUGAUAAAAACCAUCAGGGAGGGAACAGCUGGCUGGGCCAGGGAGGUGAUCAAUGCCUCUUUACAAGAGGGGGUGGUCCCUGCCUGUUUGAAGGAGGCAGUACUAAAACCACUCCUUAAGAAACCUUCCCUGGAUUCGGAAAACCUAACUAACUACUGGCCAGUUGCUAAUCUCCAUUUCCUGGGCAAGGUUCUGGAGCAAGUGGUCGCAGACCAGAUCCAGGCACUUUUGGAAGGAACUGAUUUUCUAGAUCCAUUUCAAAUGGGGUUUAGGCCUGGUUUUGGCACAGAAACUGCCUUGGUCACUCUGUAUGAUGACCUCUGUCGAGAGAGAGGCAAGGGAAACAUGUCCUUGUUAAUUCUCCUUGACCUUUCAGUGGCUUUCAAUACCAUCGACCAUGGUAUCCUGCUGGAGCGGUGGGUGGCACCGCUUUGCGGUAGUUCCAGUCCUACUUGGAUGGUCUUUCUCAGAGGGUGUUGCUUGGGGAAUGCUUUUCAACCCCGUGGAGCUUUCACUGUGGGGUUCUGCAGGGCCAUCCUAUCCCUUAUGUCUUCAACCAGUGUGCCAUGACACCCUGGGGUGCCUUGAAUGAUAGUCAGUACUUUCCGGUACAUCUGGGUUCGGCGCGUCCGUAACCCGAAAACGCUCAACCUGCAGCGAUCGCAACCCGAGGUAUGACUGUACCUUCUGCCAGUUGUGUCACAUAGGACAGAGUGUGGACAAAAUGCAACAAAUGAGGUUGGCUACAAACUGGUCUAGUCCCUAUAUUAUUUAUUACCUUUUUAGGUGCCAGGUGAAAUAUUCAGUCGUAAAUAUUCUUUUACUUGUACUGAAUAUUGUAGUGAAUAUUACCCACUUUUUAUGGUUUUAGUCUGUAUUAGAUUUUAGUUUCUUGUUGUAUUUUACAUUUUUAAUUUGUAAACCACUCAGAGGUGGUAUAUAAAUAUUGGAAAUAAAUAGUGAAUAAAGAGUGAAUACAGUGCUUCUAGCUACCAAAUCCUUCUUGGGAUUACAGCCAGACAUGUUCUCUUCCCACACACUCACACACUGCCCCAGUCUCACCCCCCUCUAAAUUAAAACCAUUAUUCCUAAAGGAUCAGUGCUGUUAGCUAACCCAAGAAAAGAAUGUUUUAUCUGAAUGAAAGUGUCUCACAAUAACUUAGCACUAGAACCUAUUCUGAAAGGCACAAUGAAAAGAGAGUCCUUCUUUCACCAGUAAAUAACUACAAACGACUUGCAUAUAUUGUUGUGAGUUUGGGGGAUUCCAUUGUUGAAGGAGCUAGGCAAGUUUCUUGGUGAGUUAAUGGGCCCUAAGUAUGGUGUGUGUGUGUGUGUGUGUGUGUGUGUGUGUGUGUGUUUAGUAUAAGAAAGGAGUUGCUCUGUGCAGGAAGGCAAAUGGGUGAGCUCUCUCUCUCCCCAGGCUAGUAGUAAGAAAGACAAAAGCUGAACUAGAGUGUGUGAAAACUGGGCUACAAGUAGCAGAAGUCAUUUCUGCCUGAAUCCAAGGCUGUGACUAGGGGGGAAGCAAGACCCUCGUGGGGUAUUAAUGCUGUGAGCCCCUCCAUUGUAGGUUCAGGUUGUAUAUAUGUGUCAAUAAACCAUCUGUCAUAAAGAUACCACAGUCUGCUGUCCCUCAGUCCCAGGAAAUAGAACCCUGGGUAAGUGCCUGGAGCCCCAGGAAUCUCUCACCACUCAGAGAUUGGGGUGGCGGGCAACAACAUGAUGGGGGUCAUAGAAAACAGCUUUGGUGGGGAUAUCAGUUGAUAAAGUAAAUAAAAUUAGAAGGAAGGAAGUAGAUUUUCUGUCAUUUGUUCAUUUUCACUUGCUGAAGAGCUGCACUUCUGUUGUGCAGGAGGGGAACUUUCAACUUAUGAAAAAAUAUGCUUGUUUUUAAUUGCAUAUUUGAAAGAUCAGAAUCGGCUAUUGCAUCAGACCUGCAGAUGUAGUCAUCAUCACUGGAACCGCAUCUUAGGGGGAAAUUAUGUUGAAAACAUGCCUGGUUUUCCUAGGUACGGUUCUGCAUGAGUUCUCUGACUUAGUCACUCUUUAAAACAGAAGUUGUGACGGGGAAGGGUCUUACUGUCACCCAGAGUCAGAGAUGGUUCAUUCAUCAUUCAUGAUAACCACAAGGCUUACCAUAUCACCAAGUGACACUCUCCCACUGUCAGACAAGUAGGAAGUUCACCCUAUGCACAACAUCAGGCUGGUAAAUGAUGGGCUUGGAGGCCUUUGCACUGCUGGUGUUUGCACCAAAGAUAAAUAGAGAGAAAAUGGGCAGGAAAGCACUAUUCCCAGAAGGGUAGCUAUGCUUGUCUCUUUCAGGAAAACAUCAAAGUCUUGUGGCUUCUGAAAUACUAACACAUUUAUGAUGGCAUGAUCUUUCAUGGUUCUCUUCAUUGGACACACAAAACCUUAUUUGCAAGCAGGGAUUUCAUAAAACUUGGAUUACAGUUGUAUCUGUAUGUGAAAAGGACUUUCAGAGAAAGUAAACACUUGACAAAUGUUUGAGCCAUCUUCCAGUAGUGAGCUUAAAAACUCUCCGUUGUUCAGUUCUGUGGGAAAACCAGCCUCAUAUAACCAGCAUGCUUAAGUCUACUUAAUGCAUGAACGAGUGCCUUGGGUAUGCGUGCCACAGAGUAAGCUGUCCUGCCAGACUUAGUUAGGUCACUCCCCCUCACCUUGGGCGGAAAGUAAUCAAGCACAUGGGAGAUCUGAGCUGAUUGCUCCAAACUGCGUGGCUCUCACAAGUCACCCUGGAGUUCCUAUACCAAGAAUUUAGAUACUUUCACCACGAUAGCUAAGCCAAGUUUUACUGCCUGUGCAACUUUUUCUGAAUGGUGUAUGGAAAAACACAUGAAUCUGACCUUUGAACAGUUUGCAUGUAAACCAUAUUUUAACUUACCAAAUGUGUGGUCUUUUUCUAUGUUAAGGGAUGGGAAAAGCUUUGGAACGCACAAGGGCAUAUUUUAAAGGUCCCUAACAACCGAUGUUUCCGUGCUUUACUUUGCUGCUUUUUUGUGAUUUUAAAUCCCUGCUGAGGUUGUCUCACCAAAUAGUACAUACCCCGAACCUGGAUAUCAGCAUCCAGGGAAUUCUCAUUUUAUAUACCCUUUUUUUUUUUUUUUUUUUUUUGCUUGCUACCAACAAGUUCAACAGGAAGUUCUUUUCCAAUACAUUAUUUUGCCAAGAAAAUAGAAGUUAUAGAAAAUAAACUGAAGAUGAAUUGAUAGUUGCCCUUGGUGUAACAAGCAUGUUUCUUUUGCCCACUGCUCAAAUGGUGUUUGUCAGUUUUUGAAACACUCCAGAAAUCCACAAAGCUUCUUUGACCAAAGAAGGGUGACUUUCCUGCAUCUUUUAGUGAUUCAGGAUGCCCCUCAGGACCCUGCACCCCUAAGAUUGUGUCCACUUUUAUAGAUCUAGAUUCCUCUGCCACCUCCAACUAUAGUAAUUUGUAGAAAUCGGCAAACACUUAAACAAACUCUGUAUUUGGCAACUUAUUAUUAAUAAUUUAAAAUUAAAUAAAUUUAUAAGACUUACAAACAAAUGCUUAAAGAAUGCUUUCUUUAGAUAGUUUAUUUAUUUCAUUCAACAAGAAAAAGACUCUCUGCACUUUUUCAAAAGCAUCCAGUUUGAUAUGCUAAAAUUUAAAAUAAAAGUUAGCCACUCUUGGUGCCUACUUCUUGGUGCCCAGGGAGCCAAUGGGAACUUUCCUAUCCGGCACAGGAGUCCCCAAAUAGUUAAAGCCCAUACCCCUUCAUCCAGGGUCCCAAUUUGGAUCCACUCUUGAUAGUUAUUCCACCUUUCUCAAAAUAAUGGCAAUUGUCCGGAUGGGAUCAUAUCCCCCUGGGCAAUUUUCACAUCAGCUUUUCGUCUUGAGGUUCCAGCUUCAAACAGCUGUGAGCAGCAGAGAACUGUGGGUGUGGGUUUUCCCAGCGAGAACUGCAGGACCAAGCCGGCCUUAUUGUUAGUGCUGGAGCCACAGGUGUCUGGGGUGUGCAUAUGUCAGCUUUCACCAAAAAGUGACUUGUCCUGCUAUUUAUUCAUUUGUACACCCACUCAGAAAACAGAUAGAUCUGAGACUGACAGCUGCAUGCACUGAGAGAGAAUUUUCCUGGGCCACAUUAGGAAGGAAGUGAUGAUGUUCCAGAUAAUUAUAUCAUGUAGAUACAUUUCCUGUGCCUAUAGCAGUUUUGGGCUGACCUCAUUCAACCAUCAAAACCACAGAUUUACCGUAGUUCUGUUAACAAAUCUUAGCAUUUUGCUGUAAAGCUCAGUUGACUUUUGUUGUCCAUGGAACAGCAAAAGGCUUUGUCACUGGAACAGGAUAAUACUGUACUGCAGUUUUCUAAAACCAAAAAGAAAGGGAAGGAAGACCAGUUGCUGAAUUUUGCAAAGUUUGUUGUUGUUUCUAGUGAUCUCACUGUUUCAGAUAAGACAGGUAGAGAUACUUAGGGUGGUAUGCAACUAAGUUUUCCUCAGUGUAGAUCCAUUGAAAAUAAUGAACAUCUGUUAGGUCCUUUAAUUUCAGUGGGUCUGCUCUGAGUAAACUUAGUUAAAUGCCACCAGUAUUAAGCUGGCUUUAAAAUAAUGGCUUCAAGUAAAAAGAAAGUGAUGGGCUCUCCUCCAUUGGAGGUUUUUAAGCAGAGGUUGGAUGGCCUUCUGUCACGGAUGCUUUACUUGAGAUUCCUGCAUUGCAGGCGGUUGGACUAGAUGACCCUCGGGGUCCCUUCUAACUCUACAAUUCAAUGAUUCUAUUAAAUCUGUGAGGUGGAUUGUGUGAGGCCCAUGGUCAGUAAAGUAGGCAUUUCAACUGAGAUCUUCCCCAGUCCAAGUCCAACACUGUUCUCUGUGCAGCACUCAUAUGAAGACAUUUCUAAUUAAUGUAUGGAACCCCAUUACCACAAAGGGGGGGUUAUGGCCAAUGGCUUUUAGAAGAAUAAGAUAAAUUUGUGGAGAGGUCAGUCAAUGGUUAUUAUCCAUAAACACUAAAGUUCAGAAGAGAGUUUUGCCACUGAGAAAUAAGAGUGGGAGAAGGCUAUUGCCCUCGUGUCUUGCUUGUGGGCCAGAAACAGGCCCCUCAAUGCCAGUUGCUGGUAAUCACAAAUGAGGAGUUGGUUGGCCAUGAUGAGAACAGAAUGCUAUACUGGAGGGCUUUUACAUUCAUCCCACAGGGCUUUUCUUAGUGUUUUUGCCCUGUCCUAGCUGGGUUCCAGGUACAGACAGCCUCUUGCAGCACCGUUGCUCCUGGGGACACAAAGGUUGCUCUGUCUCUGAGUCAGACACCAAAUUCCCAUUCUGAGGGGAAGGAUCCCUGUCAGUCUUCCCCAAGGGCCCCAUUUCUUCCUUGGCUGCUGUUCUGGGCUGCAUCCAGAGGUUUCAGGUCAUCCUCAGCCAGAACCUUGGAGAAUGAGGAGGAGGAGACACCUGGCAAGAGCAUGGCCAUUCUUAAGGUUCCGUGACAGGAACAUUCACACUGUGUUCUACAAACUUGACAGCUGGCAGAGGUGCUGCUGAAUCCACCUGGAACUGCGAUAGUGACCUACAGGGUAAACAUUUCCUGCUGAUAUUUUUCCAGUUAAAAAUCUCCCACCACACUGCUAUUUGCCUGGCAUAUAGCGAUGAUAAAACCUGCAAGCACCAGGGCUGGCUCUCUUGCUCCCCCUCCCCCCGUUUUCCUUCUCCAUUUCAUCCCCCUUGCUUCUCCUCACCAUUUCAUGUAAUCUUCCUUCACCCUCCUUUCCAUAUCUCUGUCAGACCACUAACCCACAGAGUUCUACUCAAGUUCCACGCUGUGUGAGCAGCUGCCUCCCUGCCCCUUGGCCGUAGAUAAGCAGUACAAAGAGAAAGCAGUCUCUUACCCAGGGGUCAGCAAACCUUUUCAGCAGGGGGCCGGUCCACUGUCCCUCAGACCUUGUGAGGGCCCAGACUAUAUUUGGGGGGGGGAAUGAACAAAUUCCUAUGCCCCACAAAUAACCCAGAGAUGCAUUUUAAAUAAAAGCACACAUUCUACUCAUGUAAAAACACGCUGAUUCCCGGACCGUCUGCAGACCAGAUUUAGAAGGCAAUUGGGCCAGAUCCGGCCCCUGGGCCUUAGUUUGCCUACCCAUGCUCUUACCAGUAACAGAAAAGUUUAAUGAAUGCAGCAAAAGAACAAGCAACCAUUCUCGGAGGUGCUCCCAAUUAAGGUUCCUUCCACUUCCCUCCAGUCACUUUUGUCCUCUCGUCUCCUAGCCACCUGAUCUCUCAACCACUGAGCCUUUUGUGAAGCCACCUUAUCUAACCUCCUAGCCUUGGGACUGAGAGGCUGCACAUCUUCCAGUGAAAGUUGGCUAGCUCACUCUCUUCCCGUUCUUCUUCUUGCUGAUCACCUCCCAGUUCCGCCCAGCUAUUGUCUCCCAAACUGUGCCCUUCAGCAAACCAUUGUUCCAAAUCAACACUACUCCACUGGUCCUGUGGAGUUUCAGGAUACUGGCCAUGAGCAGGGGGAGGGGUAGGUUCCCACCAUUCCUCAUCGAGUUGUACUCCUCAGCCAGGUCUCUGACAAUAUAUUUCAAAAAGCACCACCUUUCAGAAAUCCCAACCAUGUCAAUUCUGCCUUUGAAAUCCCAGACGUACGGCAGCCCUCCCUGAUGGUCAGGCUCCCAGCUUUGCAUAGAGCAGCUUCAGUCUCCAGCCAUGGGGUAAAGGCACAUGAGAGACAGAGAAGUCAGCAGAAUGGAAGGAGGAGUUGUGUUUUGGGGUGACGGGGAAAGGGGGGGAGAUGAGUGCUUGUCUGAAUGGAGGACAGAAAGGAAUGUGUGAAUAUGAGGAAGCCGUCCCAGGGAGAAGGAGGUUUUGUCACUAUGAGCAAGCAGGCCGGCUGCAGGGAGGUGGGUACAGCACUUAGAUUCAAAUCUGCCGCCUCUCCCAGAAGGCCUCUUGAGGUGACUGCCACAGAGAGGUGCAUGGUAGCUCCAGGCCUGCCAAGCACACAGGACCACUACUCACGUCUAUUAUAAACUUUCCCUUUUCUGAUGAUGGGUUCCAACGUCAGCUUCCCCCACUGCUCCAUAGGAGGAGAGUGUUGGGGCUAGCAGUGCUGAUAUAAAUAUAAUUUUAUUUGCAGCUAAAGUGGUUUGUUGGAACCCUAUACUUACAACAUAUGAAACAAAUGGCAAAUGUCAUAGGAUCACAAGUGUGAAAAAAAUUAUAUGAAUGUGGACAAAGUUAAAUUUGGCAUUCCACCUCAUGCUGAGGCAGUCUUCCUUAAAUGGCUACCCUUCAGUUACUUUGGACUCCCAACUCCCUUCAACUGCAGUCAGAAUGGGGCACCAGAGGAAGGCUGCUCUAAGGCACCCUCCUCAGUCCCAAUGAAGAUCCACCACAUCUCAAGCCCUGGGCUCUGAAGUACACAUCAGAAAGUGAGAAGGUUCCCAGCAAGAUUGGCUAGCGUGGCUGCUGAGUCAGAUGGCUCUGAGAUCCAGAGAUGCUCUCCUCAUUCACUUUCCACUCACGAGGCCUCACUUUCACAUACUGUGGUCCUUGUUUGGCUGCUAAGAUUGCCAAAGCAAGUCAGCUUGCAGAUGAGUUCUAAGACUGGUCCUUCUAUUUGGCAGAAUGAAGCAGCUGCCUCAGACAACUGCUGCAGGAAUGGUGGUGAGGUUUUAGAGGACAGAACUACUUGUGCCACAAGGGCUAGAUUAUGUUCCAUUUUACAGAUGAGGAACUAAGUCUGAGCCACACGUCACAUGGUACACAGUGGAGUAGGGAUUCAGCAUCCUCUUGCCCAAGCUCAUUUCAAAAAGCUGGUGCUACUGAACCCCACGGGCCUUCUGCUCACACAUCUUGAACAUGGGAGAAAUGCCCACCCCCUCCUCAGUUCUGCACAGUGUUUAAUAUCAGACUUCUAGCUCUUUGCCUGGUUGAAAUGGGAGAUCUGGGACUUAUCUGUGCUGCUGCUUCCUCUAAAUUCCUAAGCGCUCUGGGUGGCUGCCUUAGCCUUCGAGGACCCCUGGACACAAGAGACGCCUUCUUGGAUGAAGAGCUGCAGCUGGGACAUUUCUCUAAAGACUGCUACUGCGUCUCCCUUCAUUUUAAUGAAAUGAUGCAUCCAGGGAGAAAGAGUCCUGUGCAACAUCAUUUACAGAGCAAUGUGAAAAUGCUUGUGGGAGGACAAUAGGCUCCUAUCACCCCUCUAUGUCAGCCUCAGAGCAUCUGCACACAGGACAGCUAUUCUCACCAGAUGUGGCAGGGACGGGCAGAGAGAGAACAAGAGGAAAUGGCAUGUGGAUGGGUGGGUGAUCUAUGAUGCUGGGAGGUAUAUGUGUACAGUGGUACCUCUGGUUACGUAUUUAAUUCACUCCGGAGGUCCGUUCUUAACCUGAAACUGUUCUUAACCUGAAGCACCACUUUAGCCAAUGGGGCCCCCUGCUGCUGCUGCACCGCUGGAGCACGAUUUCUGUUCUCAUCCUGAAGAAAGUUCUUAACUCGAGGUAUUAUUUCUGGGUUAGCGGAGUCUGUAACCUGAAGCGUAUGUAACCCGAGGUACCACUGCAUAAAGGAGAAGAAGGAAUUGUAUGGGCAUGGGAAAACAAGGCUAGAUGCAGUAGUUUUACUGCCCCAAAUGGUCACACCACAUGAUCUGCAGAGCAUGUUGGAAGUGCUGGGGUGCAACUCAACUUGUAUUUAAGACUGGUGGUCUGGAUGGCGAGAAAGUAGACAAUAGGAGCCGACUCCUAGGGGCCGAGGUCCCUUUGGACCUCCAAUAAAACAUUCGAGGGGGCUGCCCUUCCAAAGUUGAUGGGUGUUGCCAUUUAAAUGGUGUUUGUACAUCACAUCUUGUGAUAGAUUAUGCAGAGCAGGGCUUACCUGCCCCCCCAUAUUUAAUUUAAAUUGGCACCCCCAAAGUAGAGAGGCAUAUGAAUACCAAAGCUUCUUAGACUGUUGUUUAACCUGUGCUGAUCCUCCUUCGUAUGUUAGGCGAUGGUCUUAGGGUUGCUGAUCUCAUUUCCUACUGCUCCCUUCUGCAUCUUCACCUUCGGAGUGGAUACAUAUUUGUGUAUGUCUCCUGCUGAAAACAAAGAGGUUCUUUGUAUCUCCACCUCAGUUAGACAGAACUAGAAUUUUUCCUAUCAAGUAUGUAUUUCCUUUAAAUUUAGCUUACUACUUUUUCCAAACUCAGAGUCUCAGUGUGAUUGUAUCCAAGGGUAAAGUGUCCUCUUCCACAGGGAUCCAGUGCUCAGUUUCACUUCCGCAGGUGCAUUUAAACUCCAAAUGCCAUUAAGGUGCAAGCCCAGGAUCCCAUACCCUCAAACGUUCCUCAGGUGAAAAUAGGGGCAUUUCUGACUCCCCUCUACUGACCCCCAUUUUUUGUCCCAUCCCUCCACAGAGCACUUCUUAUUAGAAGGGCAAGUGCCACCCCCACUUCACCAAUGGGACACAGCACACAGGCCCCCCACUGCCCUGAGAAAACCCCUUAAUCCCAAAUUUAUUCUUUGGUAGACUUACAGAAGGGAAAAUGCACACCAAUAAAGAAAAACAAAUAAAGGGGCAAAUUUAGACACAGACACAAGAAGGAAGGAAGGAAGGAAGGAAGGAAGGAAGGAAGGAAGGAAGGCAGGCUCCUUGCGCUCUGCUUCACUCCCCCUUUCUUCCUGCCCUCCUCCUGCCCCCUCAGAGCCAACACAUCACACAGGGCUGGGCCUCGACAGCGGCAGCCUCUCCUACUCCUCACCCGCUCUCCAGCAGCCACUUUGAGCUGCCCAAGGGAGGAGGCUGGCAGCAGCAACCAUGGAGAGGCAACAGGAUGCUUCCUCACCUCAAGGGUGAUUUCCAACAAAACACAAAUUAGAAUGAUGUCUAAAAUGUAACAUUUAUUAAAAACAACCUUAGAGCCUGCUAUUUGUUUUUGGGAUGGGACUGCUGUUGCUUUCAAGACUAGCCCUAGUGGCAGUGUACUCCUCUGCACAGAAAGUGUAUAUCUGUAAAUAAUGCAGAAAGGCACACAAGUCUCUGUCCAGUAUAUUUGUGGAAGGCACACAAGCUCAUUUAAGUGAGAGAGUGAUUUACCCAUUGUUGUUGUUGGUAUCCAUCUGUCUUGGGAGACAAUGGAGUAUGCCUCCAGGGUGAAGUCCAACCGCUGCAUUUUCAGCAUCAAAAUGACGUCCACAGGGUGCAAGUCUAGGCAUUUUGCAUGUAGGACCUGGGCUGCGCAGCCAACAAGACUGAUGUGGUCCAAAGGGAAGCAGAGCAAUACAUUCGGCACCUGCUUGGCUGCAGGAGUUGCCAGAAGGAGGCGUACAAAGAGCCAUCCAACCGUCUUAGGGACUCUGGAUUUGUGUAGGGUUUACUCUUGAGCCUUUUCUUCUCUCAAAGAUGUCCUGCAAAGUUUAGGACCAGAGUUACCCUUCUCCUGGAUGGGCUAGGUUCCUAGGUUGACGAGCCCCAUCUGCCCCUGCAUGGUUUUGCCAGGGGUGGGAAAGCCUUUCAUUUUCGGUUUCUCUCAGUAUCAUUUUUUCCAAAUUUAAGUUCAGUUCUCCAUAUUUUCAUAUUAGUUUGCAAGAGUCAGGGCUUUAUUUCCAGCUGGAACUCAUUGGAACUCAGUUCUGACACCUCUCAGGUGGGCGCCCUUGCCAUUAUAAGAGAACAAGGGAGGCAUUCAUGGUGAGUUCCCACACCACUUUUUCUAGAAAAUUGCACUGGAAAGAAAAUUCCAGUAAAAAUUCAUCAGCAUUUAGUGCAAAUUUAUCUUAAUGUAUGUGCUGGAAACAUUAUAAAAUAGUCUGUAAAUGUUUAUUUUCUACUUUUGACUUCUGAAAACCUCUCCAGCAGCCUUGCAUUAUGGGAGCCACUGUUAGCCCUACGCCCCCCCAAGUGCACACUCACAGAGGCUGCCCCCCAUGGGGAAGCACCUGGAAAAGGCUUUUCUCUUUACAAAAGCCCUUGAUAACAGGAAUUGACUAUGUACACAGUACUGUUUGUUCAGACCAUAGGAGCCAAUUGCUAGAGGCCUGAGGUCCCUUUGCCCCACCCUCAAUAAAAUAUCUGAGGGGGGCAGAACCCCCCCCCCAAGUUGAUGGGUAUUGCCAUUCAAAUUGUGUGCAUGCACACUUUUCUCGCCUCAGGCUGACCUGCCCUCCCAUAUUUUAUUCAAGUUCAGACUAUCACAGGAAUGACAUUCACCGGUCAGCUUGGUUACCUAUGUUGUGAUUUGAAGGUAACUUGUGUUAACUAAUCAAGAAUCUCAAUGCUGUAUGUAAACUGUGAGCCUUACAAUUCACAAAUUAUUUGGUUGACAUAUUGUAGAUUUUGACCUGUCUGACCUGCUGUAACCCCUCCUCGAAUAUGAUGUAUUUCUGACGUUUUGCCUACAUAUCAUUAUGUUCUAUAUUUUUGCCUGGUAGUCUUCUCUUUUUCUUCUUGCUGUGACUGAGGAACCUAGCCUUCAGCAACAGUGACUCAAGUAAGGGGCUCUGGCCCCAAGCAAGCCCCUGGUUUUCUGGCAACAAUACCCUUUUAUUGCAAUGCAUUUUUGUAUGUGUAUAUUUUUAUGCACACUCUCCUCUGAAAUACAUUGUUGUACCAACUUUUGCUUUGGAGAACUGCACUGCAAGAUUUGGAGAAGUUUGAAUCUGAAAUGAUAGUUGCAUUUUGGUUUCUGUAUUGUUUCAGGAAGUAGGAAUUAGUUCUGAUUGCCUUUAAAUGCAAAGUGAAUCAACUUUUUCACACACACACACCACUUAAAAAGUUGUAAGUCACAUGGUGACUGGAACUGCUGUGUAAGGAGCAAGACAAUAACAUUCUUGGAUUAGUUAGAGAAGUUAGGGAUGGACUGGGGCAAGAGAGGACAUAGAAAGAAAGAUGUUUAAAUUGUUUGCAGCUGCAUAGUUUGGUGUUAGUUGUUGUUAUAGAGGGGAUUAUUGGUUAAUCAGAUAGCAUCUGUUCACUCUUCAGUUCUUGUGGUUGUUUCUAAAUGCUUUAACAAAGCAAAGUCUGCAGUACUCUCUCUAUGCAAGGAAACUCUCCUGGGGUAGUGGCAGCUGAGGAUGGAACAUGAAAGGGAGGGGGGUAAAACUUAGCAGGCCCAGCAUGAGGUGCAGCGGGACAAACAGGGCUUCCUUGGGAUCACACUGAGAGGGCGGACACAGUCAGGUGGAGGCUUUCCGUUGUUAGCUAUUGGCACUCAGCCACUAGGUAUGCUGGCUCGCACCACAAAGAACUGGUGUGUUUGUGUUGAAUGGCAAGACCUGAAAGUCAUGUUUUUGUCUGACCAAGUGGACCUUGAAAACAGAAGCGUUUUCCCACUUGUCUUAACUCACAAGCAUCUUUUUCCUGCCACUGUGUUUUGCAAAAGCAGAAAUGGAGUCUUCAGUAUUCAGGCUUAGUCAGGGGCAAAACUAGGCUUUAUUUAACCCAGGUCAAAGUCCCAGUUUGGCACACGCACCCAUGCACAUUUGGACAUAUACAUACACAGGCUGGGAGCCUCAAUGGUGCCCACCUGGAGGCUUCACCCAGGGCAAAAACCUGGCUAGCCUCCCGCCCGCCGCUCUGGCUUAGUAAUAGAUCUUAACAGGUAAUUUGGGGCAGUGGCUGCAGCAGAAUGAGGCAUGUGAGGGAACCUGCCACAAUGCGAACUGUUCCAGCAUUCAGAUUUGCUUUCUGUUAAGCAAACACAGGUUUCAUGAAACAGGUAACGCUGCACCUGCAAAAGUGGCAGAUGAAUUACAUGGUCUGCAUUGAGAGGGAUAUGGACACAGCUUGGUGGCUGAGGUGGGAAACCUGAAGAGAGUACACACAGACACAGACACCCCACGCCUUCCCCUCUACUUAAUUUAGGGCAGUGACAGUCCACUUAAGUCUCCUCAACAGUCUUCUCAACAGGCUCCACUGAGCACCAUGACAGUGUGCUGAAUCUGGCCCUCUGGUAUCUGCCAACCCAAUAUUUAUUAUGGUAGGACAGACUUUAUCUGAAGCUUUACUCACAAGGAAAAGAAAAAGCUCAUAUGUUGCAAGAAAUUGAGCCUACUUGCUUGGAAAACCUUUUAAAAGUUUAAUGUGUUAUUAAGUUUUUACAUAUGUUGGAAGCCGCCCAGAGUGGCUGGGGCAACCCAGUCAGAUAACAGAGUACAAUUAUUAUUAUUAUUAUUAUUAUUAUUAUUAUUAUCGUCUUUUCAGAUGUUAUGUUUCACAUUUUUGUCCUUGGGGGCCUCAGGACUGUCAUUUAGGGAACCCAGUUAUGGCUUUCUGAGGAUGUUAAGAAUUGCAACUGAAUUUUCAACUUCACUUGAUAUAACUUUAUGUCUGAAUGGACUUUUGCUGCUUUGGGGUGUUGCUUUAAUUUUCCAUAUUUUAUUUAAUUAUUUAAUUUUAUUUCCUCAAUUUAUUUUCUAUUUUUGUUUCUUAGUGCUUGGUUGGACUCCUUGUAAACAUAAGGGUACGAGAUAUUAAGUUAUUUAAUCUGUGUGAAGUGCAGUUCCUGAGCAUAUGUGCUCCAUAACAGGGAAGUCUUUGUUUUAGGGUGUGGUCUGAAGGCAAAUUGGGGGCUUGCUGCAGCUAGGCAAGCCUGGAUCUUUUUGGUACCUGAAUGAGUGGCUACCUGAGAACCAUAUGUAUGCACCUUUACCAAGAGUCCAGCUGAUGCAAGUUGUAGUUCUAAAACAUCUGGAAGGCUAUGGGAAGGAACUAAUGCAACUAUUAAUAUUGCACAGCUUGAAGCAGACAAACUGGAAUAAAAAGUGUCCAGACCUGCAAUUAUUACUCAGAGCUUUACUAAUCAGAACUUCAUCAAAUCAGGUACAAAAACAUCAAUGAUACAUCCAAAUAAUUCCAUACAAUCAUGUACACAUCCAGCACAGGCUCAGUUUCUUAUAAAAUAUGAAAUAGUCCAAAAAGAUCUAAAAUCACAGGUCUGUCUCUCCCCACAGCCUCCAUUACCACCUACAGCUGUUUUUCCUUUAGGAGAGACCUCAUUAUCACGUUCUUUGUCUUUGGUUGCUUGAGAACAAAGACUCAAAACACACAGAUUAACAUAUGCAGAGAGUGUAAUUCUACCUCUUUUCCCUUUAUUUUUUUAAAGUGGGAGAUCCCACCAUUGUAAAAAUCAUACAAAUUUUGUGUUGUUGUUGUUGUUUUUUGAGGGGGUAUAAUGGGCAUAGGAAGGAUUUGGCACCCCUACCUCUACACUUUUUCAGCUGGCUCUCCCCCCCUUCCCACACUUUGCUGCAUGCCAAUGGCCUGUUUGCAGACAUGACCGACUGUUGUGAGGUGCCUACAGUCUGAGAGAGAGGUCAGUUUUGCCCCGUGGUAGCUGUUUUCCAGAGUUCAUGAGUCCCGACAGACUGCUUAUCUGGCCACGGAGCAACAGAGUACCAUGGGCAACCUAAACUGUUUUGAGUAGCCAGAUGCGUGUUAAAUGCUUUAAAAAGCUUGCAGUCCAGCUUCCAACCCAAUCCACUGGCAGAACUGAACUGGAAACUGGAAAGGAAAGUGUUUCCAUAAUUGAAGGCAGCAUCAAGGAUUUCCUAGGGCCCUGCUAGGCAGAAGAAUAAACCUGGAGGCAGGAAGGAGCUGCAUAGUUGGAUAAAGAACUGAGAGGAGCUGUGAGUGUUUAUUAACACACAUGGCUUCAAUCAGCACAGAUGUGGAAUACAGAGAAGCAUAGUGUGAAAAAGGGCCCUGCCCUUCUAUUCUGACUCCUAAGCUAGCUAUUGCACAAAACCUGGGAGAGCAACUAGAAGAACAUUUUCUUCUUACCAUGAAUUUCAGUUUACAGAUUGGGGUGGGGGGACAACAUUCCUGAUAGAGAUGACUCCCCCUACUGGAGACAGACAGGGUCCUCUCCAGAGGGGGAGAGUCAUCCCGUCACCGAGUAGCAGAGCAGAAUAACUCCUCACCCUGAAGCAGAUGUCCGUAUGCCAGCCAAAUCACUGGAGCACAGACCUAGAAAGGAAGGACACUCAUACACAAAGCAUGUGGUUAGAUAGCAAUGCCAAAGGUAAUACCCCACAAACGCCUCCUCAUAUCAAUCUAUAAACCAACAGAAGCCGCCACUAGAGGCGACAAGUGCUGCAAUGCGUUGAACCACAGGAAGAUAGAGGAGGGUGGAAUAUCGUCAUCCCCCUUCCGUAAACGGAAAUUCAAAGUAAGAAAAUUUUCCAUUUUUACCAGAUUUAGGGGGAUGCCAUUCCUGAUAGGGAUAUACCAGAGCAGUAUCCCAGCAUUGGGGAGGGCUUCCUCCGCCUCCAAAUUACUGUGGAACUACUCUCUGCAGCACCUUGCAACCAAAGGCCGCAUCAGAAGAAGCGAAGGAAUCAAUUUUGUAAUGCUUAAUGAAAGUAUGCGGAGAGGCCCAUGGAGCAGUCCUAUAGACAUCCACUAUUGGAAAACCUCCCUUACACACACUGAGGCUGCUGCCCCAUGCAAGGAAUGAGCACCUCUGACAUGGAACAGAGCUGAUUGAUCUAAAUAAAGCUUUAGGGCCUUAUGCACACCCAAUGAAUGCCAACUAUACUCUUCUGGGCAAGAAGGAUUAGGACAAAAGGAAGGCAGAACCAUUUCCUGUGAUCUAUAAAAAAAAAGGGAAUUCAAUUUAGGGAUAAAUCCUGGGUCAGGUUUGAGAACUACCUUAUCUGAACAGAAGAAACAAAGUUUGGGAUCAGAGGAAAGAGCGCCCAACUUGGAAAUCUACCUUGGUGAAAUAAUGGAAACUAAGAAAAUUAUCUUAUAGGUCAGAAACUUUAAGUCACAAGAAUCCAUAGAUUCAGUUGGAGCCUCUAUUAACCCUGUCAGGACCCAAUUAAGAUCCCAAGUAGGAAAACCCAUGAACUGUCAUGGGAGCCAACAGUGCAAACCACUUCAUGGAAAGCUGAGUCAAAACGUCAGUAGAUAGAAGAGGGCCCCCUAAAUUGGACAGAAUGCUGCUAAGAGUGGGAAACUGCCUCUUAAUGCACAAUGUCCUUUAUCCCCCUUGCAGGGGGUUGGACUAGAUGACACUUGUGGUCCCUUCCACGGGGACGGGAGCUCUGGAAUGGAUUCCAUUCGACUGCCCAAGGUAUGACUGUAUUACAAAUCUGGGCCAUUUGGGUGGGUGGGUGAUGCAUUUCCUCUUAUUUUGGCAAGCCUCAAUAAGCUCAUGAGAAAGGAAAAGUUAGAGCCACAGACUUCCUGUUUUAUAGCCCACUUUUUUCAGUCAUUAUGCCCCUCCCCCCGGUCUGUUGCAGAGUUACAUACUUGUUCAGAAACUCUGUUCUGGAGAAGGAAGAAAGUGGGUGCAGAGAACAAGAGUACCUAAGGGGAGACUAGACAGAUAAUAGCUAUCUAAGCCUAUCGGAGGAGGCAGAAGCAACAUCUCAGCAAUAGACAGGAAGGAAGAUGCACCUUCUGUGAAUGUGUUAUGACUGCACCAGCUCACAGCCCCUGCAGACACAACAGGCCUGGGGAGAGAAUUGUGUGUUGUGUGCAUCUGGGGAAGAAGUUAGUGUGAAACAAAAGGGGAUGUGGUAUGCAUACUGCCAAAAAUGUGGUUUUGCUGAGUAGUAGGUGUGAUUUGCAUGAGUAGAGUUGCCAUGUACAGGUAUCAAGAGUUGCAUAGAAAUGAAGUUAAAUUGCUGGUUUCCCCAGCACACUAUUGCAAUGACACAGGAAGCCACGUCUGAAGGUCUGGUGAAAUUCGAGCACCUCUUAAAAGGACAGUUGCCUUUCAAGAUGGGAUGUGAGCAACCUAACACACAUGGCCUGGCCAAGACCUUGUGCCCCAUGAGAAGGAAAAUCCAGACAGUUCCUUUUUCCACUGCCUUGCUAAGUAACAUGAGCCUCAAUCCCCUAGCGUUUUCCCUAGCAUAAGCUCCACUGAAAUGAAGGUGCCUUCACCUGAUAAAUAUCCUGAUGCAAAGUCCUUCCAGGGGAGGAACAUGGUGGAUUCAAGUAUUUUGUCAGCAGGCUACUAAUGAAGAUAGUUGUGUGGCAAUUGAUGAUAUUCAGAUAUAAAUCUUGGCUUUAAAAUUCACUCUGGAAAAAAGAGUGAACGGGAUUGACCUUUGAUGGUCUUUAAAAGGCCGUUUUCUGCAUUGGGAGCCUGAGAAAUGGUCAGUUUCUGGGAACCCUGACAGGGUUAAGUGACUUGUGAGUGAAGGAAUCAACAUCUUACUCAAAAGCCACACAAGAGCCCUGAUAGGCACUGGAUCUGCAAAAGCCUCUUUUCUUAAUUAUUUCUAAGAUGGUUAUAAUUUAUAACGGACAGAGAUUUUUUUGUCUGCUGGUAGACAUUGACAUUUGAUGUGUGAGCUACUUUCUGGCUUCAAGAAUAAGGGAAUAAGCCUGCUCCAAUUGUUUGAGGCAAGAAAGUUUAAAUGAGCAAGGUAGUUCUGUGUGCUAAGAAUUUGUAUUUUCUUUAUUUUUGUUUUCUUGAUGAAAGUGUUGCCUAGAAAUCAAAAGUAAUUCAGACAUUUGGCUGUGAAGAUUGGGAAAAUAUUGCUUAACAGAAAGUAGAACAGUUGUAUGUAAUACUAGAGUGCAUGUUUAGAAUAAUUUCUUUUAUGUAACUAGCAGAUGGAAAAUUGGAAAUCUUUUCAGCUAUGUUGAUAGUUGAGUUAAUAAUAACAAUUUAUUAUUGUUGUGGUUAUUAAUUAUUCAUUGCUUACUACAUAAAAUGCCUCAAAAUUAUUUAUUUAUUUAUUUAUUGAAUUUAUAUAGUGCCCUAUACCCAGGGGUCUCAGGGUGGUUUACUUUUGUAAUAACAUUUAAAAAACAAAAUUUAAAAAGUUAUUAAAAAGAUAAUACAACAAUAUUGACUAAAAGGGCUCAUCCUGCAAUAUUGUAAAAGGACAAAGCCUAUUCACCCUACUAAAAUAUGAAUACUUUGUCUUCAAACAGCAUCAGCCUAAGGGAUUGAGCUAUCACAGAGCACAAAACUUCAAGUAACUUAUGGAAUUCUUUAUUUGUGACCUGCAUCAAGAUGGCGGUGCUCACUGGCUGCUUCUUUGCUGUUGUGUAUUCCAUAAUGCAGUGGUUUUCAACCAGUGUGCCGUGGCACCCUGGGGUGCCUUGAAUGAUGGUGAUGUGGGCAGAGGAAGGGAGUGAGGAGGGAAGAGAGCGAGCAGCUGUCAGGUAGACUUGUACAGCAGCACAAGCCUUUUGGUGCUGCGCUUCUGCGUGAGCCAGUUAUCUCGUGCAGCAGCGUGACUCACAUCCCAAUUUUCAGCUGAGAAAUGUUGGAGGGUAUUUGUCAGGGAACUGCCAUCGAUUCAGGAGGGAGAGAGGAAAAGCCGAAUGGAUUACAGAGAGCCUCCAGGGAUCGUGGGAAGCAGCUCCUCCUCAGCGGAGGAGAGUAACCACGUCUCCAGUGGAGAGGAGCUGCAGGGCUCGGAGGGGGCGAGGCGGUGCCAGGACACCUUGCCUGGGCAAAGCGGGGAGGAGAGGGGUCCUCCGUUACCCACGCCCUCCUUGCGCAGUAAGCUUCCGCGCAGAGAGGGAAGGCGCAGGCUGGGUGUCAAUAAAUUACUUUGCUGGGGAAAGUUUAAGGACCGCCCACUCACGGAUUCUGCCAGUGAAUGAGCCAGCCACGGGAGAGUGGCGCUCUGGACAGAUAAAGUUUAUUUUUGCAGCUAAAGCAAGGCUUUACAGCCGAGCAGGCAGGUAUUUGCCUGCUUGCUCUCGAGCAACCACUUGGAACCUUUACAGUAUUGCUAUGUAUGUAUGCAGGCAGUGCAGGCAAAACCCAGUGCAUGGCACCGUUGAUGCCUCCUGGAGCUCAGGAGCUUUAGCAGCAUAACAAAAGAUAGGAAGGAUUCCAAAACCCUCCAAUAGUAUUUGUUGGUAGCUGGCAGGCAGCCAAUCCCUGCUGGCAUAGGGCCAGUGUUGUGAUUUGCUACCUGCAGCAUAAGGUGACCUAUCUGUUAAGUUGUGGGUGAACAUAUCAGAUGACACAGCGAUUCUUCAAACAGCUCUUGUUUAUUCACAGGCCAGAACAGAACUGAACUGAAGGGUUCAGCCAGCCUGCUUAUAUAGAGCUCCAUUACAACGCAACAGUAACCACUUUCUGUAACUAUCCAUUCACUGAACAUCACUUUCAAUCCCUUAUUUGCAUACGUGGACCUGAGUGAAAACUAUCUACAGUAUCCCCCUGCUGGCCCAGGGUGAGAACUUCAGUACAUAACACUAUCACAGGUGGGAGGGUGUUACCUGGGCUGGCUUAAGGUGUCUGUACACUGGGCCGAGUGCCCCAGUUUGUCACUCUUGUUCCGGAUGCUCCAAUAAAUCCUUCUGAGCUCAACCUAGGCCUCAGGUCAUGCUUGAAUCCACCUGCACUUCAGGCAUGAUACUAUUAGUGUGGCCCAGCACAAAGUUUAACCCAGCAAGCCAAUAUCCUCAAGGCUGUCAGCCCACAGUUCCAAAGUACUGCCUUCAAGAGCCACUUCUUUUUUCUCCUGCAGGAAUCAGAGAGCUAUAUAAUGCUGGGCUUUGGUUUUGCUGCUGACCACAGGAAGAAAACCACAGUGCUAGUUGUGUCAACCCAGAUGUUACUUCUAAAACAAAAGGAAGUUAUUAAUUGCAGACUAAUGGAACUGCCUUCCAGUCUGUUGGCAGACACCUGGCACAGACCAUUCCUGGCAGCUGCUAUUAUCCUGCUGUAGCCACUGACAUGCUGCUAAUUAUCCAAUUGAGGCAGCCUAAUAUUAUGGGUUCUGGAGAAUAACAGUGGGAUGGAUGAGGACCACAGUUAUCUUAAGUCUAAUGGUGUGUCAGGAGAGAGACCAGGGAGCUCCUCAGGGAGCCCAAGGCAGUGAGCAGCAUAUGGGAUUGUUGUCCCUUGACCUGGGGCUGCUUGGGCAGGCUGGAAGUAUUUUAAAUCAAUGCAUAAAAUAAAAUUAAAACAACAACUUAGCAACUUAUAAAAGAGAAUUUGACACUGGCAAUAUAAAGCAGUCAUAAAACAGUAAAAUGAGAGAGGGAUGCAUCAAAUGGGAAUAAGUAUGAGGGUUACAACAGUAGUCAAGGAGAGACACUGACACCAGGCAGGGAUUCAGCACACAACAUAUCUCUAGGGGGACAGUGGACAUGAUUCUCAUCACUCGACAGCUUCAAGAAAAAUGCAGAGAGCAAAACCAACCCCUUUCCAUGGAGUUUAUUGACCUGACUAAGGCCUUCAGCACUGCAAAUCGUAAUGCCCUGUGGACUGCCCUUCUAAAAAUUGGCUGCCCAGAGAAAUUUGUAAACGUCAUUUGGCUCCUCCAUGAUAAUAUGACAGCAACAAUCGCAAAUAACAAUGGCUCACAAAGUGGGAGAGUGGGAUCAGGUGUUAAACAGGGUUGUGUUAUUGCCCCUACUCUAUUCAUUAUUUUCAUUGCCAUGAUCCUACACUUUGUCGAAGGGAAACUCCCCUCAGGAGUAGAAAUCAUAUAUCAAACAGAUGGAAAGCUCAUUACCAUGAACAGCAGAAGGCAAGGCAAGGCUUUCCUCUAAGACUGCAUGACAUACCCUAUAAAAAGUUUACAGCAUAAAAUUUGAGAGCAUUAACAUAUCCAGAAUGGAGCUUCUUAGUUGCCAGAACAAAUUUGACUACCAGGUGUGUAAGCUGUAGAUCUUUAUCAGCUAGGAGCUCAACUGUCAGCUGCUUAUUUUGUUUAUUAAUAAAUUUGUAUAACACCCUUCAUCUGCAGGCCUGAGAGACAGUCAAGAACAGAUGGUAAGUCUUUUCCUCUGGACACUGACUAUAAGGGGCAAAGCAGCAGGUAAUGGAUGACAUCCUCAACCUGAUUGCAUCCACAAAUGCACCUGCGUUUCAUAUGGGGAAUUCCCAGGUAUUUCCCCUCUAAAUAAGCUGAGGGCAUCUGUUGGAACCUUAGUUCAACAAAUGCCCUAUGUAGCUGUGGGAAAGUUAGUGUCUCAAGGUAAUGGAGCCUUGAGUAGCUGAUCUUGAUUUGGGGGUACCAGAUAGAAUAACAGGCAGCCAUGGAUGCCCUAUCUUGGUUGGCAUCCUGAUCAAAGUUCCAAUUUCUUAGGUCAUGUGGACUGAGGACUAAAUAUUUCUCCAUUUUUAAAUUGUAAGCCCUAAGCUUAUUGUGACACUUCUGCACCAGCCACCUGACCUUAGUUCCUCUAACCAGCAGAGCUUCGUUGUAAUAUGUCCUCGGAGGCAUUUAGUCUGUGCCCGUAUCUGAGGGAGGCUAGAUUGAUUCUGGCUCUUAUUGAGGGGAGACCAAACUCAGCUCUGAGGUGGACUGCCGGUUCCCCAGUGGAAGCCCCAACAUCUGCCUCGUGGAUUUGUUUUGUUGGGCUUCUAGUUCAGAUUUAAUACCACUUCCCCAGAUCUCAACCCUGUAAAACUUGUUUAAAAACAUAAACUUGUUUUAUGUUUUAUAAUACUCCUGAAAUAGGGGGGAGAAGGAACAGUACAAACAACCGAACAAUGUCAAAAAUAACUUAAUCACAACAAUCAAAAUUACUUCAGAAAGGGAGCAACCUCUCAUGGCCCAAAAACCGUUCUUAAAAGGAGGGCUUUAUUUUUUAUUUUAUUUAUUAUUAAAUUUGUAUAACACCAUUCAUCUGCAGACCUCAGGGUGGUUCACAACAUAAAAUUACAAUACAAAAACCACCAAAUACAUAGUAGAAAUGAAAGCAACAAAAACCCAAUAAUCCCCACUCCCACAACACAUUUAAAAGGGCAUAUAAUAAUAAUAAUAAUGAUGAUGAUGAUGAUGAUGAUGAUAAUAAUAAUAAUAUAAUAUUUAUACCCCACCCAUCUGGCUGGGAACCUUCUCAAUAGCGGCACCUGCCCUAUGGAACGCCCUCCCAACAGAUGUCAAAGACAAAAACAACUACCAGACUUUUAGAAGACAUCUGAAGGCAGCCCUAUUUAGGGAAGUUUUUAAUGUUUAACAGACCACUGCAUUUUAAUAUUUUGUUGGAAGCCACCCAGAGUAGCUGGGUAAACCCAGCCAGAUGGGCGGGGUGUAAAUAAUAUAUUAUUAUUAUUAUUAUUAUUAUUAAAGAAACAGGGUAUGAACUUUGUGAACAAAUUAAAUGUAGAGGGGAAAGUAAAAGAUAAUCUGAAAGAUAUACAAAGGCAAUUUACAAAAUAUUAUACAGAACUAUACCUAGUCGGUUCUGAAAAUAAAGAGAAAAUUGUAGAAUAUUUAAAACAAAAUAACCUGCCAAAAGUUCCAAAAGAGAAAAUGGCUUUAUUAAAUGAGCCAAUUUCAACACAGGAGGUGUAAGAAGCAAUUAUACAAGCUAAAAUAGAUAAAACACCAGGGCCAGAUGGACUACAGUGGUACCUCGGGUUAAAUACUUAAUUCGUUCCAGAGGUCCGUUCUUAACCUGAAACUGUUCUUAACCUGAGGUACCACUUUAGCUAAUGGGGCCUCCUGCUGCUGCCAUGCAAUUUCUGUUCUCAUCCUGAAGCAAAGUUCUUAACCCGAGGUACUAUUUCUGGGUUAGCAGAGUCUGUAACCUGAAGCGUAUGUAACCCAAGGUACCACAGUAUCAGCAAAGUACUAUAAAAAAUUACAGGAUUUUCUGGUACAACCACUUAAAGACUUAAUGAAUGAGAUAUUAAUGACUGGGGAAGUACAGAAUCCUGGAAAGAAGCCUAUAUUACAAUGAUUCUGAAACAAGAUGCUGACCCACUGUUAGUCAAAAAGUAUAGGCCAAUCUCUCUAUUAAAUAAUGAUUAUAAAAUAUUUGCAAACAUUUGCCAAUGGAAUGAAGAAGGUUUUAAUUGAUCUAAUUCAUCAUGAUCAGGCAGGUUGCUUGCCAAGCCUCCAGAUGAAAGACAACAUAAGAAAUAUAGUUGAAGUUAUAGAAUACUUGGUCAGACCACAAUUUAAGAAGGCUAUUGACAAGCUGGAAUGUGUGCAAAGGAGGGUGACCAAUAUGAUCAAGGGUUUGGAAACCAAGUCUUAUGAGGAGCACUUGAAGGAACUGGGUAUGUUUAGCCUGGAGAAGAGAGUGAGAGGUGAUAGGAUUGCCAUCUUCAAAAAUCUACAGGGCUGUCUCAUGGAAGAUGCAGCAAGCUUGUUUUUUCCUGCUUCGGAAGCUAGGACCUGAAGCACAGACCCUUCAAGUGUCCCUAUUUUCCAGGGGCGUCCCUGAUUUAGAGAAGCUGUUCCAGUGUCUGAUUUGAUCCCGUAAUGCCCCACUUUCCCUUAGAUGUUCCUAUUUUAAUUGGAGAAAUGUUGGCGUGUAUGGAGUUAUCCGACCCCCACACUGUCUGAAGGCAGUCCUGUAUAGGGAAGUUUUUUAAAUGUUUUAUUAUGUUUUUAUAUAUGUUGGAAGCUGCCCAGAGUGGCUGGGGCAACCCAGUCACAUGGGUGGGGUAUAAACAGUAAAAUUAUCAUCAUGGAAUGGGAUGUCCCUACUUUCAUCCGAGAAAUGUUGGAGGGUAUGUUACCAUGUUGCAGUAAUCUAACCUAGAGUUUACCAGAUCAUAGACAACAGUAGUUAGAGUGUCCCUGUUCAGAUAAGGGCGCAGUUGGGCCACCAAUCAAAGCUGAUGGAAGGCACUCUGCACCACUGAAGCCACCUGAACCCAAAGCAACAGCAAAGGAUCCAGGAGUACCCCCAAACCAGGGGCAAAGGUACAAAAUUUGAGUUUCCGGCUAAACAUCAGGAAGAACUUUCUGAUAAUAAGGGCUCGUCCUGCUUGCACCGUGCGUAGCCAGCACAGGUCUAAGCUCUUUUGCCUUGGCUCCACCACAUUCCUCCAGAAAAGCUGCUCGUUAGCACUGAAUUGGAACAAAUGGCAAUCUGCGGAAAACCUGUUUACUGUUUGUUCCGAUUCAGCACUAAAGAUUGGGUUUCCCCAGGGGAAAGUGGCAGGGGAAACUGAGGUUUGGAUAAGCCCUAAGAGCUGUUUGACAGUGGAAUGAGCUACCCUGGAAGGUGGUGGACUCUCCUUCCUUGGAGGUUUUUAAGCAGAGGUUGGGUGGCCAUCCGUCAUGGACACUUUAGCAUUGCAGGGGUUGGACCAGAUGAUUCUUGGCUUCCUUUCCAGCUCUACAAUGCUAUGAUUCCAUGAGUAGCACAAUAACCAACCCAUUUUCUCGAAGCAACUUUCCAGAUGUUUUUAAAAAAUGCUUUAGUUGUUAUUGAGUGAAGGAGAAACACGUAGAGGGAAUGCAAAAAACUCAAACCUGGGGAAAGAAGCCCCUUUCUUCCUCUGAAGUCACACAUAUAUUUGCCUCUUUUAGACAUAAAAAUAAAACAGUACAAGACUCCCACUUCCCCUGCAUCACAAUGCCUAGCUAUUUAAAGAUUGUUUUAACAUUUAUUUUUCACUGAAGGGAGCGCCCCGCCCCCCCGUCAGCACUAGAGUGAGCAACAUCACCUGGCAUUUAAAAUAUUUUAAAAAUCAACAAACAGUUAAUCUUCCCCUCUCCUUAUCAAGGCUUCUUCUACCAAAGGAAAGGAGAAAAUUCUGAAAAUGUUGCCUCUGUCAGCAGCCAAAAUGCUUCCAGUUGAAAGAGAUAACCAUAGCCCUUCUCUGAUAGGUCAGUCAUAUCGCAGGAAGGCCUCUUGCUUUCCCUCCACCCUCUUCUUUUGGCUUAAGAAAUAGAUGUUCUCUCCCAGGAAUCCAUGUCCUCUGCAGUUCCAAGAAGUAUAAAUCAACCUUCAACCUACAAGCGCUAAUGGGAAGCAAAAUGAAAAAGUCUAGAACUUAGUGUGUGCCUGAUUGCAGGGUUUAAGAACAAGGGUAAUGUCAAUUGUAUAGGUUGCUGUGCUUCCCCAGGGAAGGGCAAAGGCUGUGUUUGGGGAGCCCUUUCACGGAAUACGUGGAAAGACUGUGAAGAGCAGCAGUCCGAGCAAAUGGAUCAUGGGUUGGGUCUUUAGCGACCGUGCCACUUUUUCUUCCUAAUGAUCCCUCCAAUUUUGUGUGUGUGUGUGUGUGUGCGUGAGAGAGAGAGAGAGAGAGAGAGAGAGAGAGAAGCUUAUGGGUAGGCCAGAUGUACUAAUUCAUUGUUUGCAAUACAAUACAAUUGUCUGCAGCACAACUGAUAGUAGUGUCUUGGUGCAGAUCCCAACGCAGUCUUUGCUGCUGUGGUGCACGUCAAAAUUAGCACCCACCUUUGGUAAACAGGCGAGGCAUUUUCACAUGUCACCUUUUGAGCCUCCCUUGCUCUUUUCAUUUUGAAUCCUGAUCAACUGUCAAUGCGAAACAGGAAGCAGAGGAGGGACAUUUGUCAUGUCAAUGAGCAUUCUGGGUCAAGGUAAGUUACAAAUUUCCUUCCUGUUACAAACUCAGUUGAGGCAAAAGCCUCUUGGAGCUUCAUGAGUGAAAAGGCCUGAGUUCAUCAUAUUCAAGAUUUGUCACAAUAUUGUGGACCCUGAGGGUACAGAUGAUAAUUGCUACUGGGGAAAAUAAUCCCCUCUUCAAAUCUGGCAAAGGCAGUAGAUUACACAAUGAGCAUGACUAUAUUUGGCCCCACACCGUGUGGGCUGUAAGCAGUGCUAUUUUUCUAGAAAAAGAGGUGCUGGAAUGCAAUCAGUCAGUCAAUCAAUCUCCUUUUUUGGCAUAGUAAGGGUACGUCGUAUACAUGGAUCAGAACACAACACAGGUAACGAAAUGUAGUAGGAGGUACUUUAGGGUAAGACUGUCCAGACAUCAUGAAAUACAAAGGUGGCUCUUAGGACCUAUGGCAGGGGUAGGCACACUAAGGCCUGGGGGCCAGAUCCUGCCCAAUUGCCUUCUCAAUCCAGCCCACGGACGGUCCGGGAAUCAGCGUGUUUUUACAUGAGUAGAAUGUGUCCUUUUAUUUAAAAUGCAUCUCUGGGUUAUUUGUGGGGCAUAGGAAUUCGUUCAUCCCCCCCCCCAAAAAAAUAUAGUCUGGCCCUCCACAAGGUCUGAGGGACAGUGGACUGGCCCCCUGCUGAAAAAGUUUGCUGACCCCUGACUAUGGUGAAGUAAUUUCAUGGCAUCAAUCAAAAAUAUUGCUACAUUCUCCACAACGUCAAUCCUACAAUUAUUCAACAGAUAGGUCACUCUGAAAGAGUCAGUGUGAUAGAUCCCCUCCUUCAUUAAGGGGGGGGCAAAUAUUUAUCAUAUAUUCUUGCAUAUAAUAGGCAAUGAAAUAAAACGUGUGAUGGAUUCGACCUGUUUUGUGUCACAAGGGCCACCUUUCAGAAUAUGGGAUUUUGAAGAAUCUCCCUUUCAAGACUGCAGACGGUGAGGGAAAGAGAUCUGCAUAGAUGGGGAUCAUAAAGGUGAUAUAAAUUCCUCCUGGCCAAAUAAAGGUGGAAUUCCCACCCCCAGUGGGAAAUAGGUCUUAAUGGCUGUGCUGCUGAGGGUUUGGCAUUAAACCUCUUGAAUUCUGCACUUGAUUAUCUGGAAUGCUUCCAACUGUGGGAGCAUAAGCAGCAACUCGAGUGAUAGGCCACAGGUUCUGAUUUUGCUCUCAAUGCGAACUAACCAUUUGGAAUGGUGAGAUUCUGCCAGCAUAUGGAAAGUUAAAGAAGAUGAGUUGGACUUGAACCCACCAUGAACACCUCCCUCAUUUUCUUAGAAUGGCAAUGGAACUCACCUGAGAGGUGCCGGAACUGAGUUCCAGUGAGUUCUGGAGGGGGGAAAGCCCUGGCUGUAGGUGGUCAUCUAGUGGAGGCACCAGAAAAAAAUGGUCGAGGGGCACAGAAUGGAUGAUGGAGAUCUCUAGGUGGGCCAAAAAGAAAAAUAUCAGCAUGUACUAAUGACAGGAAUUGUUCUCCCACCCAGCUGCCUCUUUCUUCCUCGGAGCUGACUGGUUAGAAAGAACCAGGGAUCAGGUUUCCUCGAUUUCUGUCUCUAGCUGGAGAAAAGAAGUCUAAUUGAAAACAGCUAUCUCUUUACUCCCACACUGCCAUUUCCCACCCACUCAGGCACAAGAGGCUGCAGGGUCUGGCGUCUGCAUUCUGAGGCUCCCUGCUUAAGAAUGAAGAGGGAAAGGGGCUGGUGCUGAGAAAGGCACAGGCAGAGGAAGGAUAGGCGUCUGGCCAAAGCCUAUGGAGGCAACGUAUGCAGAUUGCACCCACUCUCUCACCAAACAUGGGUGGAGCACCUCCACCAAUGCGCCUCAAAAUGUACACUCUCAGACUUGGAACCUGCCUCCCUGGCCUGAAAGAAACAACCUCUUCCCCUGCUCAUCAAGCCACUUCCCUCUCUUCUUUUAGAAAUUCAUCCUCAAGUGCAUACCUCUCCAGAAAAUAGUUUCUGCAUGAAUAAAGCCUUUGAAUGCCAGAAACUAGAAGUGAUUAUUCCAAUCUAAUUCACCCAAGCUGCAGGGUCUGCUAACAGGUUAUGGACACAGGCAUUGAUUUGGAACUCCAAACUUUGUUUCCCAGAGUUUCCCUUCCAAAAGCCUUCCCAAUCCAGCUGCACUUCUCCAAGGAGAGAGGCAGCAGGAAGGGGAGUGAAUAUCAAGGAAACUGAAGAGAAAAGAUUGGAGUGGGCUAGAAAGCAGGAGCAGGCGGCAAAGAACAAAGGAAGGAAUCAGCAAAAGCUGGAGGAGACCGUUUGUACUGCUGAGAACUGCAAUGAGAUUGGGUUGGGGUUAGCAUUAGUGUUAGGGUUCUGGUUACUGUUAGUGUUAUUUGUGGUUAGGGUUACAUUUGGUUUGAGGUUAAGGAGUGGGUUAGGACUAAGCUUGAGGUUCAGAUAAGGGUUGGGGUUAGAGUCGGAGGUAUGUUUAGGACUAGGAUUAGGGCUGAGGUUAAGUUUAUGAUAAGGGUUAGGGCCAGAGUCAGGCCCAUGCGUGGGUGGGGGGCUGCCAAAUACACUUGCCCCAGGUCUGAGAGGGCUAAGCAAGCUGGGGACCCUGCAAGUGGCCGGCUGGACUUCUGCUGUCAUGCCAGGAAUGCCCUGCACCUCCCAGCCACCCAGGGCCUUUGUAUGGGCCUGGCCAGAGUUAGAGUUAGUGCCGGGGUUAGGGUUACAUACCUUUCAAGUGCCCCUAUUUUCCCAGGACAGUCCCGGAAUUACAGAAUCCACCCUGGCUUCUGAUUUGAUCCCGGAGUGUUUGUUUCCCCCUCCAGCCAGCCCUGCCGCCCAGCUUGGGGAGUUGGAUGAGCCGGCACUUGUGCUUGCAGAAGAACCCUCAGGAAGCAGAACUAUUGUGUCUGGGAGAGGCAGCUUCCUGCCAAAGCGGGGGUGGUGGAUGGGCACAACCCCACAAUGCUGCCAACUACACUCCAGUAGUUGUUGCCGCCACCUUCCCACUUACCGGUACUCCUGCAGCAUUGGUCCUCUAUAACAGAGGUGAGUUUAUCUCACACCACGUGAAAAUCUGCCUGAGGGAGGAAGGAAUAAGACACAUGAGAAGUGUUAGUUACACCCCACAACAAAACUCAGUCAUUGAAAGUUUAUAUCUCCUCUGGAAAUGGCAUUCCCAAAUGCUAAGUCAAGUUUUACUACCUGUGCCACUUUUUUCUGAAUGCUAUAUGGAAAAACACAUGAAUCUGACCUUUGGAGAGUUUGUAAACAACCAUUUUUAACUUACCAAAUGUGAGAUCUUCUUAUGCUAGGGGAAGUGAAAAACACUAGAAGGAACUUGGAAUUACAGUGGUACCUCAGGUUACAUAUGCUUCAGGUUACAUACGCUUCAGGUUACAAACUCCGCUAACCCAGAGAUAUUACCUUGGGUUAAGAACUUUGCUUCAGGUUGAGAACAGAAAUCGUGCUCCAGCGGCACGCCAACAGCAGGAGCCCCCAUUAGCUAAAUUGGUGCUUCAGGUUAAGAACAGUUUCAGGUUAAGAACAAACCUCUGCAACGAAUUAAAUACUUAACCCGAGGUACCACUGUACAUACAGUAUUUUAAAAGUCUUACUUUGCUGCAUAUUUUGUGAUUUUAAAUCUCUUCUGGGGUUCUGUCACCAAAGUGUACUGGCCCUAAACUUGGAUGUAUGCAUCCAGAAAUUCUCCUUUCUCUAUUUUUUCCUUGCAGUUUUGUCCCCAUCUUCCUCCCUCCUGAGUUCUACAAGGGAAAACUGAGACAAAGGAGCCUGGCAGCCCGGGCCAUCCUCUGGGCUGGUUGUUAAAGUCAGGUGGGUGCCGGCUGGGGGAGACUCACAUUGGUGGGACGUGGCCCCAUUUGCCCUAUUUGGCUAGCCUCCACUGUCGCUGUUAGAUUGCAAUGCCAAACGCACUUAUUGGAGAGUAAAAUCCAUUGCACACAAUGGAAAUUCUUUUCACGUAAAGCUACACAGCACUGCAACAUUAUCAUGGCAGGCACAUUUGUGGACUUGCGCACACAUUGCCAGAUUCAUCAGUAAUUAUUUGGCAUAUCAAAUCAAUGUGUGCAGAGGAGGGCUGCCACAUGGGUGGUGAAGCAAGCCUCUUUUCUCCUGCUCUGGAGGGAAGGACCCAAACCAAGGGCUUCAAGUUAAACAUCAGGAAGAACUUUAUGGUGGUGACAGCUGUUCAACAGUGGAAUGGAUUCCAUUUGGAGAUUGUGGACUCUCCUUCCUUGGAGGUUUUUAAGCAGAGGUGAGAUGGCCAUCUGCCAUGGAUGCUUUAGCUGAGAUCCCUGCAUUGCAAGGGGAUGGACUAGAUGACCCUCAGGAUCCCUUCCAAAUCUACAAUUCUAUGUUUCUACUAAAUCUUUAUUAAUGACCAUCAUUAAGAAACUGGGAUAAGAAGCACAUAGAACAUAUUCUAAUUUUGCAGAUUUACUUGUAUACAUAGCUGGGUGGGUGGGUAAUAUAAAUAGCAAUGUCCAAAAGCCAUGAAAUGCAGGAAGUACAUUUUCAGUCUGUGAUUUAUUGUUGCUGGUUUUAAAUGUCGUUUUGUUUUUAACAGACAUGUUGUUUUAAUUUUUCAUUUUGUGCUGCUUGCAUUUUAUAGAGAUGUGACUAAUGCACUUCAUAGAUAAGAAAAUAAAUCUUUGUCUACGUGAACCCUGGAGAGCCAUUGCUUCAGCUGAACUCCCACAGCACGGGGGGCUCCAACCUGGGAAUCAGAAUGAGAGCCCUUCAAAGUCUGUGAAUCAGAAAUUCUCCUCUUGAUGCCUCUAGUGCCACUUCAUAAAUUUGAACAGCCUGGAAAAGAGCUGAACAGUUCAGAAAAUUAGAUGUAUGACCACACAGAAGUAGUAUUUACAGGAAUUUAGAGCAGGAAUUGAAGCACCAAGGAGCUUCAGAUUAAGAGUUUUGAUUGCAGUAUUGGUGGUGGUUGCAUAACUGGAUUGAAAACGUCUGGAG